GAUGAACGCUGGCGGCGUGCCUAAUACAUGCAAGUCGAGCGAACAGACGAGGAGCUUGCUCCUCUGACGUUAGCGGAGGACGGGUGAGUAACACGUGGAUAACCUACCUAUAAGACUGGGAUAACUUCGGGAAACCGGAGCUAAUACCGGAUAAUAUAUUGAACCGCAUGGUUCAAUAGUGAAAGACGGUUUUGCUGUCACUUAUAGAUGGAUCCGCGCCGCAUUAGCUAGUUGGUAAGGUAACGGCUUACCAAGGCAACGAUGCGUAGCCGACCUGAGAGGGGGAUCGGCCACACGGGAAGUGAGACACGGUCCAGACGCCUACGGGAGGCAGCAGUAGGGAAUCUUCCGCAGUGGGCGAAAGCUUGACGGAGCAACGCCGCGUGAGUGAUGAAGGUCUUCGGAUCGUAAAACUCUGUUAUUAGGGAAGAACAAAUGUGUAAGUAACUAUGCACGUCUUGACGGUACCUAAUCAGAAAGCCACGGCUAACUACGUG
rnacentral:rRNA from 1 species